rnacentral:pre_miRNA from 1 species
UCUUUGGUUAUCUAGCUGUAUGAGUGGUCAUCUACGCAUCAUAAAGCUAGGUUACCAAAGAUA